UUUGAUCCUGGCUCAGGAUGAACGCUGGCGGCGUGCUUAACACAUGCAAGUCGAACGGUGAAGCAGGAGCUUGCUCUUGUGGAUCAGUGGCGAACGGGUGAGUAACACGUGAGCAACCUGCCCCUGACUCUGGGAUAAGCGCUGGAAACGGCGUCUAAUACUGGAUAUGUGACGUGACCGCAUGGUCUGCGUUUGGAAAGAUUUUUCGGUUGGGGAUGGGCUCGCGGCCUAUCAGCUUGUUGGUGAGGUAAUGGCUCACCAAGGCGUCGACGGGUAGCCGGCCUGAGAGGGUGACCGGCCACGCUGGGACUGAGACACGGCCCAGACUCCUACGGGAGGCAGCAGUGGGGAAUAUUGCACAAUGGGCGAAAGCCUGAUGCAGCAACGCCGCGUGAGGGAUGACGGCCUUCGGGUUGUAAACCUCUUUUAGCAGGGAAGAAGCGAAAGUGACGGUACCUGCAGAAAAAGCGCCGGCUAACUACGUGCCAGCAGCCGCGGUAAUACGUAGGGCGCAAGCGUUAUCCGGAAUUAUUGGGCGUAAAGAGCUCGUAGGCGGUUUGUCGCGUCUGCUGUGAAAUCCCGAGGCUCAACCUCGGGCCUGCAGUGGGUACGGGCAGACUAGAGUGCGGUAGGGGAGAUUGGAAUUCCUGGUGUAGCGGUGGAAUGCGCAGAUAUCAGGAGGAACACCGAUGGCGAAGGCAGAUCUCUGGGCCGUAACUG
rnacentral:rRNA from 1 species